rnacentral:rRNA from 1 species
UAUCUGGUUGAUCCUGCCAGUAGUCAUAUGCUUGUCUCAAAGAUUAAGCCAUGCAUGUCUAAGUAUAAGCAAUUUAUACAGUGAAACUGCGAAUGGCUCAUUAAAUCAGUUAUCAUUUAUUUGAUCGUUCAUUACUACAUGGAUAACCGUGGUAAUUCUAGAGCUAAUACAUGCUAAAAAUCCCGACUUCUGGAAGGGAUGUAUUUAUUAGAUAAAAAACCAAUGCCUUCGGGCUGUUUGGUGAUUCAUAAUAACUUGUCGAAUCGCAUGCCUUGCGCGGCGAUGGUUCAUUCAAAUUUCUGCCCUAUCAACUUUCGAUGGUAGGAUAGUGGCCUACCAUGGUUUCAACGGGUAACGGGGAAUAAGGGUUCGAUUCCGGAGAGGGGGCCUGAAUAUUACACCUCUUCGCGAAUCAGGACUAGCUGGAAGCGGGUCGUUUUCUGAAAGGAAAGCGGCGUUGCUGAAAGCUAGGUUCUAAAACGUUGGGCCAGUCGCGCUGAAAGGCGCGGCUAGUCGUGCAUAUGCACGGCGACACUGUCAAAUUGCGGCGACACCCUGAGAGCUUCAAGUACCAAGCUAGCGUCGAAAGACAGCUAGUGGCCGAGUUAGUAACCCUGGGUACGGUAAAAACCUUGAAGAUUGGGCGAGCACGCAGCCAAGUCCUACGGCGCAAGCUACGGAUGCAGUUCACAGACUAAAUGGCAGUGGGCGAAAGCUUAAGAUAUAGUCGGGCCUCUGGCGAAAGCCAGGUCUAGAAGAGGAAACGCAAGUGGAGAGCUUCUAGGGCAGAUUCGUCUGCGGAGUAACCGGAGAAACGGCCACCACAUCCAAGGAAGGCAGCAGGCGCGCAAAUUACCCAAUCCCGACACGGGGAGGUAGUGACAAUAAAUACCAUAUCGGGGCUCUUAGAGUCUCGAAGUGGAAUGAGUACAAUUUAAAUCCCUUAACGAGGAACAAUUGGAGGGCAAGUCUGGUGCCAGCAGCCGCGGUAAUUCCAGCUCCAAUAGCGUAUAUUAAAGUUGUUGCAGUUAAAAAGCUCGUAGUUGAACCUUGGCGUUGGUUGCCCGGUCCGCCUAACGGCGAGUACUGACGCGACCAGCGCUUCCUUCUGGCUUACCUUGUGCCUUUAACCGGGUGCAAGGGAACCAGGACUUUUACUGUGAAGAAAUUAGAGUGUUCAAAGCAGGCUCACGCUCGAAUAUUUUAGCAUGGAAUAAUGAAAUAGGACGUGUGGUUCUAUUUUGUUGGUUUCUAGGACCGCCGUAAUGAUUAAUAGGGACAGACGGGGGCAUCAGUAUUCAGUAGUCAGAGGUGAAAUUCUUGGAUUUACUGAAGACUAACUACUGCGAAAGCAUUUGCCAAGGAUGUUUUCAUUAAUCAAGAACGAAAGUUAGGGGAUCGAAGAUGAUUAACAAGACGACGAACUAGUUCAUUUAAAGACUCUGUUCGCCAGUAUCUGGUCAUCGAAAGUGGCGCGAAAGCGUGCGCUAGUCAAAAUGUAUUUUGGCAACACCGUCAAAUUGCGGGGACUUCCUAAAGCUUCUGCUACCAAGCUAGCGUCGAAAGACAGCUAGUGGCCGAGUUAACAGCCCUGGGUAUGGUAAAAACGCAGAAGAUGAGUUCUCACGAACGAAAUGGAUGAUCCGCAGCCAAGCUCUAAACACGCAGCUGCUGCGUGCACGAGUGCAGUUCACAGACUAGACGUCGGUGGGCCGAGAGGCUUAAGAUAUAGUCGAUCUGGACGCGAAAGCGUCGCAGGGAAAUGCAGAUACCGUUGUAGUCCUAACCAUAAACUAUGCCGACUAGGGAUCGGGUGUGGCCCAAUGGACCUGCCCGGCACCUUACGAGAAAUCAAAGUUUUUGGGUUCUGGGGGGAGUAUGGUCGCAAGGCUGAAACUUAAAGGAAUUGACGGAAGGGCACCACCAGGAGUAAACAUGUUGCAGGACUCUGCUCCGGAUAGCCGCCCGAAAGGGUUAGUGGUGUUCUUCGAUAAAACUGGCUAGUUGUUCUUUGGAACAGCAACACGCUCAAACUGCGGGAAACUCCUAAAGCUUUCACUACCAAGUUGCGUUCGAAAGAGCGCGAUGGCCGAGCUAAUAGCCCUGGGUACGGUAAAAACGUGAAAGAUGCGACAAUGGACGAUCCGCAGCCAAGCUCCUACGGCGCAAGCUAUGGAGAAGGUUCAGAGACUAGACGGGUGUGGGUGUUCAUUUCCGUUAUGUAAACCGUCCUGUAGUUCUAGUAGUGGCAAUAUGCAAUGAGGACUGUUGUUGGAUCCAUUUUAGUCGCUCGUUGCAGAUGCUUUUUGCCACUUUUACUGGAAUAGCAGAAUACUUGUCCAUGAUAAGUAUAGGUUUGGGAAGAAUGCUUAAGAUGUAGUCCGAUGCUUCGCGGAAACGCGUAGCAGUAAUGGGAGCCUGCGGCUUAAUUUGACUCAACACGGGGAAACUCACCAGGUCCAGACACAAAAAGGAUUGACAGAUUGAGAGCUCUUUCUUGAUUUUGUGGUUGGUGGUGCAUGGCCGUUCUUAGUUGGUGGAGUGAUUUGUCUGCUUAAUUGCGAUAACGAACGAGACCUUAACCUGCUAAAUAGUUCUGUCAGCUAUUUCUGACUAGAGCUUCUUAGAGGGACUAUCGGUUUUAAGCCGAAGGAAGUUUGAGGCAAUAACAGGUCUGUGAUGCCCUUAGAUGUUCUGGGCCGCACGCGCGCUACACUGACGGAGCCAGCGAGCACAUCCUUGACCGAGAGGUCUGGGUAAUCUUGUUAAACUCCGUCGUGCUGGGGAUAGAGCUUUGCAAUUAUUGCUCUUCAACGAGGAAUUCCUUGUAAGCACAAGUCAUCAGCUUGUGUUGAACGUGUCCCUGCCUUUUGUACACACCGCCCGUCGCUACUACCGAUUGAAUGGCUUAGUGAGGCCUUCGGACGUGCUCUUUAGAGGGGCAACCCUCUUGCUGAGCAUGAAAGUUGUACAAACUUGGUCAUUUAGAGGAAGUAAAAGUCGUAACAAGGUAUCUGUAGAAGAAUCUGCAGAUGGAUCAUUU